UACGGGGGGAGCAAGCGUUGUUCGGAUUUACUGGGCGUAAAGGGCGCGUAGGCGGUCAGCACAAGUCAGUUGUGAAAUCUCCGGGCUUAACUCGGAAAGGUCAACUGAUACUGUGCGACUAGAGUGCGGAAGGGGCAACUGGAAUUCUCGGUGUAGCGGUGAAAUGCGUAGAUAUCGGGAGGAACACCAAUGGCGAAAGCAGGUAACUGGACUAUUACUGACACUAAGCUGCGAAAGCUAGGGGAGCAAACAGG
rnacentral:rRNA from 1 species